CGGGAGGCAGCAGUAGGGAAUCUUCCACAACUGGACGCAAGUCUGAUGGAGCAACGCCGCGUGAGUGAAGAAGGCUUUCGGGUCGUAAAACUCUGUUGUUGGAGAAGGAUGGUCGGCAGAGUAACUGUUGUCGGCGUGACGGUAUCCAACCAAAAAGCCACGGCUAACUACGUGCCAGCAGCCGCGGUAAUACGUAGGUGGCAAGCGUUAUCCGGAUUUAUUGGGCGUAAAGCGAGCGCAGGCGGUUUUUUAAGUCUGAUGUGAAAGCCCUCGGCUUAACCGAGGAAGUGCAUCGGAAACUGGGAAACUUGAGUGCAGAAGAGGACAGUGGAACUCCAUGUGUAGCGGUGAAAUGCGUAGAUAUAUGGAAGAACACCAGUGGCGAAGGCGGCUGUCUGGUCUGUAACUGACGCUGAGGCUCGAAAGCAUGGGUAGCGAACAGGAUUAGAUACCCUGGUAGUCCGUGCCGUAAGCGGCGAAUACUAGGUGGCGGAGGGUUUCCGCCUUUCAGUGCCGCAGCUAACGCAUUAAGCAUUCCGCCUGGGGAGUACGACCGCAAGGUUGAAACUCAAAGGAAUUGACGGGGGCCCGCACAAG
rnacentral:rRNA from 2 species